AUGGAGCAGAUGGCGGGGAUGUUGGAGAGUUUGAGGCUGUCGGAGGAAGAGAGUAAAUGGAUGAAAAUCAGGAGGGCAGAGAAGGGGAAAGGGAAGCAGGUCGAGAUCCGUGUGAUCGGGAAGGUCAUGGCAGAGAGGCUGGCGCACCCGGAUGCGAUCUGCAACUCAUUAGGGAGGAUAUGGAGUCCCAUACACGGGGUGGAUUGCAAGGACCUGGGGGAAAACAGAUUCAUGUUUAUUUUCAAACAGGAGAGGGAGAAGAGGAAAGCGUUAGAGGAUGGUACUUGGAUGUUUGACAAUGCCUUGGUGGUAAUGGAGGAGUUUAACCCAAGCAAGUGAAUCGAUGACUAUGAGUUCAACGAAAUUCCAAUAUGGAUAAGGGUAUAUGGGCUGCCACUAGGAGACAUGGAUGAGGACACGGGAGAGAUGAUCGGGAACAUGGUGGGGGAGUUUGUGGAAGUGGACAGUGGAGCAGAUGGCAGAACAAUUGGAAAAUUUCUGAGAGUAAAGGUGAGAAUCCAAAUUGGUAAACCUCUGAUGCGUGGGUUCAAGUUGGAUACAAAACAGGAAGAAGGGGAGGGUGAGGAGGAAGACAGUAGAAAGAGGAAGGAGGAGGCGAUCGAUCGCAUCAAGGAGGGGAAUGGGAAGGAGGAGGAACAAUGGUGCCGGUUUGAGUACGAAUACCUCCCUGAUUUCUGCUAUAUUUGUGGGAGGCUAGGCCAUGUUGACAGGGAAUGUUCUAUCAACCUGAAGAAGGGGGAGAGGGCCCAAUUUGGGCAAUGGUUGAAGGCGGACAUGCAAACGAGGAGGAGUAGAUCACAGGAGGGAACAUGGAGGAGCUCGUCUCGGGCCAAUAGUGGCAGUCGUGUCUAUGGUUUUGGGAGGCCUACUGAUCGAUCAGGGAGUGAUAGCCUGUCAUGGAGGAAAAUGGAAGUAAGUCGGGAGGUGGAGGGAGAACAGUGGAGAAGGGCCCAGAGGUGA
rnacentral:rRNA from 1 species